GUAUGUGCCAUGUUUGUGAGUGUCACUGCACUUUGUUCAGCUUUGUUUUGAAUUGUAGACAAAGACUUAAAGACAAGUGCAAAACAGCAAACCCUCUUUUGCAACCCACAACCCAUGGUUUUGUAUGAGUUGUGAUACAUACAAGAAGGGACAGUGUUAAUGAACAUCUUGAAGUAGACUUGAAAGUUGAACCCUUCCCUUUAGAGUGCCUUGGUGUUCUGGAUUAAGAAUAAGAAUGAAAUGGAAAAUAUAAAAAGCUGUAAAACUAGAAACAGUCAAACUGGAAGUUAAGAAUAAUAUUGGGUAGAUAAGCACUGUUCAUACAUACCUUGAAAGUUGAAAUACUUUACCCCACUUCUAUCUCUUUUUCCCCCUGCUUAGGAAUUUGCAUUGAGGAACUUGGUGAUUAAAGCUAUAUGAGAAUUUUUCAGAUGAUGCCAGUUUGCUGGUUUCUUUGGAUGUUGUUUGUAGCUUGUCUGCCAAAGGGAAUUCACAGGAUGUGCACUGUGGUCAACAAGAAGUUGAUUUGGACCAGGGUUGUAAAUAUAGAAAGAUGA
rnacentral:lncRNA from 1 species